rnacentral:rRNA from 1 species
GACGGAGGGGGCAAGCGUUGUCCGGAAUCACUGGGCGUAAAGCGCACGUAGGCGGGACGGUGCGUCGGUGCUGAAAGCGCCAGGCUUAACCUGGCGAGGCGUGCCGAUACGACCGACCUCGAGGCAGACAGAGGGUGGCGGAAUUCCGGGUGUAGUGGUGAAAUGCGUAGAGAUCCGGAGGAACGCCGGUGGCGCAAGCGGCCACCUGGGUCUGACCUGACGCUGAGGUGCGAAAGCUAGGGGAGCGAACAGG